CUGAACAGCGGCGCAGUAUCCUAGUCAGAUCUGCCGUCUCCCAAGAAGGGCCUAAAAAUCCUUUGAAGGGCACAACUGUGAAACCUUUGGUGCCUGCUUCUUACGCCCAGUUUGGGGUGGGUGCUGAAGGGAGGCAAAAGCGAUCUGCUGCGCCUGCGAAUCCCGGGCGUCCCCUAAUGGCAUGGGGGUAACGACCCUGUUUUCGUGGAGACCUGCUUUCGUGCCGGGCGUACUCCCGCGUUGGUAAGCGACUUUGGUACGGAGCGGGCUAUGAACCUGCAUUGCGGUGCUACCCGGCCCUGCGCCGUGAACGCUGUGUGCAGAGUAGCCUGCCUUGCGUGGCGGCGGCGAAUCGGAGAACACAACCAAAUCCCCCGGCCAGGGGAGAGGGCGAUCGCUCCGUGAAACCGUCGCUGCAAAAGAGGCUAAGAGACGGUUUGACUGCGGCGGAAAUCGCCUAGGCUGUCCAUCCGGGGCAGAGCGGGGAUUACAGUGCGGACUAAGUGGCAAUCGGGUAUCGCGCGUCGGCGACGGCGCGGCACGGCCCUCAAAGGGGAACCACCUGACCGGCAACGGGAGGCGGGCCGCGGGGAAAGCCAACCCGACCUCAAGCCGUAGGAUUGCCCCGCUCUGCCGCCGCUGUAUCA
rnacentral:sRNA from 1 species